UACGGGGGGAGCAAGCGUUGUUCGGAUUUACUGGGCGUAAAGGGCGCGUAGGCGGCCAGCACAAGUCAGUUGUGAAAUCUCCGAGCUUAACUCGGAAAGGUCAACUGAUACUGUGCGGCUAGAGUGCGGAAGGGGCAACUGGAAUUCUUGGUGUAGCGGUGAAAUGCGUAGAUAUCAAGAGGAGCACCUGCGGCGAAGGCGGGUUGCUGGGCCGACACUGACGCUGAUGCGCGAAAGCUAGGGGAGCGAACGGG
rnacentral:rRNA from 1 species